GAUGAACGCUAGCUACAGGCUUAACACAUGCAAGUCGAGGGGAAACGAUAGAGAAAACUUGCUUUUUCUAGGCGUCGACCGGCGCACGGGUGAGUAACGCGUAUCCAACCUGCCCAUUACUUGGGGAUAACCUUGCGAAAGUAAGACUAAUACCCACUGACGUCCAUAGAAGACAUCUGAAAUGGAUUAAAGAUUUAUCGGUGAUGGAUGGGGAUGCGUCUGAUUAGCUUGUUGGCGGGGUAACGGCCCACCAAGGCGACGAUCAGUAGGGGUUCUGAGAGGAAGGUCCCCCACAUUGGAACUGAGACACGGUCCAAACUCCUACGGGAGGCAGCAGUGAGGAAUAUUGGUCAAUGGACGAGAGUCUGAACCAGCCAAGUAGCGUGCAGGAUGACGGCCCUAUGGGUUGUAAACUGCUUUUAUAAGGGAAUAAAGUGGGAGUCGUGACUCCUUUUGCAUGUACCUUAUGAAUAAGGACCGGCUAAUUCCGUGCCAGCCGCCGCGGUAA
rnacentral:rRNA from 1 species